UACGGGGGGGGUAAGCGUUGUUCGGAGUUACUGGGCGUAAAGCGUGCGUAGGCGGUGGUCCAAGUCUGGUGUGAAAUCUCCCGGCUCAACUGGGAGGGUGCGCCGGAAACUGGGCCGCUGGAGUACGGGAGAGGCAAGCGGAAUUCCAGGUGUAGCGGUGAAAUGCGUAGAUAUCUGGAGGAACACCGGUGGCGAAGGCGGCAUCCUGGACCGGUAUUGACGCUGAGGCGCGAAAGCCAGGGGAGCAAACGGG
rnacentral:rRNA from 1 species